AGUGGCGGACGGGUGAGUAACACGUGGGUAACCUACCCUUAAGUGGGGGAUAACAUUUGGAAACAGAUGCUAAUACCGCAUAACCAUUCAGACCACAUGGUCUGAAUGUAAAAGACGGCCUUUGGCUGUCACUUUUGGACGGACCCGCGGCGUAUUAGUUAGUUGGUAAGGUAACGGCUUACCAAGACAAUGAUACGUACCCGACCUGAGAGGGUAAUCGGCCACAUUGGGACUGAGACACGGCCCAAACUCCUACGGGAGGCAGCAGUAGGGAAUCUUCCACAAUGGACGAAAGUCUG
rnacentral:rRNA from 1 species